CCUCACCCUCGUAAGACUACCCGCUGAACUUAAGCAUAUCAAUAAGCGGAGGAAAAGAAACCAACAGGGAUUGCCUCAGUAACGGCGAGUGAAGCGGCAAAAGCUCAAAUUUGAAAUCCCCCGGGAAUUGUAAUUUGAAGAGAUUUGGGUCCGGCCGGCGGGGGUUAAGUCCACUGGAAAGUGGCGCCACAGAGGGUGACAGCCCCGUGAACCCCUUUAAAGCCUUCAUCCCAGAUCUCCAAGAGUCGAGUUGUUUGGGAAUGCAGCUCUAAGUGGGUGGUAAAUUCCAUCUAAAGCUAAAUACCGGCGAGAGACCGAUAGCGAACAAGUACAGUGAUGGAAAGAUGAAAAGCACUUUGAAAAGAGAGUGAAAAAGUACGUGAAAUUGUUGAAAGGGAAGGGCUUGCAAGCAGACACUUAACUGGGCCAGCAUCGGGGCGGCGGGGAGCAAAACCACCGGGGAAUGUACCUUUCGAGGAUUAUAACCCCGGUCUUUAACUUCCUCACCACCCCGAGGCCUGCAAUCUAAGGAUGCUGGCGUAAUGGU
rnacentral:rRNA from 1 species